rnacentral:rRNA from 1 species
GGGCUUCGGGGUCGGGUCUUUGGGCCACCUCCCAUCCGUGUCUAUUGUACCCUGUUGCUUCGGCGGGCCCGCCGCUUGUCGGCCGCCGGGGGGGCGCCUCUGCCCCCCGGGCCCGUGCCCGCCGGAGACCCCAACACGAACACUGUCUGAAAGCGUGCAGUCUGAGUUGAUUGAAUGCAAUCAGUUAAAACUUUCAACAAUGGAUCUCUUGGUUCCGGCAUCGAUGAAGAACGCAGCGAAAUGCGAUAACUAAUGUGAAUUGCAGAAUUCAGUGAAUCAUCGAGUCUUUGAACGCACAUUGCGCCCCCUGGUAUUCCGGGGGGCAUGCCUGUCCGAGCGUCAUUGCUGCCCUCAAGCCCGGCUUGUGUGUUGGGUCGCCGUCCCCCUCUCCGGGGGGACGGGCCCGAAAGGCAGCGGCGGCACCGCGUCCGAUCCUCGAGCGUAUGGGGCUUUGUCACAUGCUCUGUAGGAUUGGCCGGCGCCUGCCGACGUUUUCCAACCAUUCUUUCCAGGUUGACCUCGGAUCAGGUAGGGAUACCCGCUGAACUUAAGCAUAUCAAUAAGCGGAGGAA